GAUGAAGAACGCAGCGAAAUGCGAUAAGUAAUGUGAAUUGCAGAAUUCAGUGAAUCAUCGAGUCUUUGAAUGCACAUUGCGCCCCCUGGUAUUCCGGGGGGCAUGCCUGUCCGAGCGUCAUUGCCGCCCUCAAGCACGGCUUGUGUGUUGGGCCCCCGCCCCCCGGCUUCGGGGGGCGGGCCCGAAAGGCAGCGGCGGCACCGCGUCCGGUCCUCGAGCGUAUGGGGCUUCGUCACCCGCUCUGUAGGCCCGGCCGGCGCCCGCCGGCGACCCCAAUCAAUCUUUCCAGGUUGACCUCGGAUCAGGUAGGGAUACCCGCUGAACUUAAGCAUAUCAAUAAGCGGAGGA
rnacentral:misc_RNA from 1 species